UACGUAGGUGGCAAGCGUUGUCCGGAAUUAUUGGGCGUAAAGCGCGCGCAGGCGGUCCUUUACGUCUGAUGUGAAAGCCCACGGCUCAACCGUGGAGGGUCAUUGGAAACUGGGGAACUUGAGUGCAGAAGAGGAUAGUGGAAUUCCAAGUGUAGCGGUGAAAUGCGUAGAGAUUUGGAGGAACACCAGUGGCGAAGGCGACUAUCUGGUCUGUAACUGACACUGAGGCGCGAAAGCGUGGGGAGCAAACAGG
rnacentral:rRNA from 1 species